UACGUAGGCAGCAAGCGUUGUUCGGAAUUACUGGGCGUAAAGAGUGUGUAGGCGGUGUUCUAAGUUUGUCGUGAAAUCUCCCGGCUUAACUGGGAGGGUGCGGCGAAAACUGGAAUGCUAGAGGAUGGGAGAGGUAAGCGGAAUUCCUGGUGUAGCGGUGAAAUGCGUAGAUAUCAGGAGGAACACCUGUGGUGUAGACGGCUUACUGGACCAUUUCUGACGCUGAGACACGAAAGCGUGGGUAGCAAACAGG
rnacentral:rRNA from 1 species